GGACUGCACCGCGCCGUAAGCGCCCGCCGUCAUGAUCGCCACCAGAUCGCCGGGCUUCGGUUCGGCCAUCUUGCGGUCGAGCGCGAGAUAGUCGCCGGUCUCGCAGACCGGUCCGACCACGUCCGCGACAAAAUUACGCGCCGCGUCUUCGCGAACCGGCAGCACGUCGUGGUGCGCUUCAUACAGCGUCGGACGAAUGAGGUCGUUCAUC
rnacentral:misc_RNA from 1 species